AUGCAACCAAUUUCAUUCGUCCACUUCAACGUAACAUUGAAGUUGAACCAGCGAGUCUUCCUAGCAGAGAUGAGUUGAUUGGACCACCUCAGAAAUGUGUUGUGUGUGGAGAUGAAUUUUCCUUUGCAGCUAUCAAGUCUCACAGUGAUGAGUGCGGGAGAUUGGAAAUUUGAGCAAGAUGCAACAGAAGCCUCAAAGAAGUACAGAGAAAACCUUUUGAAGAC